rnacentral:rRNA from 1 species
GACGUAGGGCGCGAGCGUUGUCCGGAUUUAUUGGGCGUAAAGAGCUCGUAGGCGGCUUGUUGCGUCGGCUGUGAAAUCCCAUGGCUCAACUGUGGGCUUGCAGCCGAUACUGUCGGGCUAGAGUCCGGAAGAGGCGAGUGGAAUUCCUGGUGUAGCGGUGAAAUGCGCAGAUAUCAGGAGGAACACCAAUGGCGAAGGCAGCUCGCUGGGACGGUACUGACGCUGAGGCGCGAAAGCGUGGGGAGCAAACAGG